CAAACGACUCUCGGCAACGGAUAUCCCGGCUCUCGCAUCGAUGAAGAACGUAGCGAAAUGCGAUACUUGGUGUGAAUUGCAGAAUCCCGUGAACCAUCGAGUCUUUGAACGCAAGUUGCGCCCGAAGCCAUUAGGCCAAGGGCACGUCUGCCUGGGCGUCACG
rnacentral:rRNA from 1 species